rnacentral:misc_RNA from 1 species
GGCCAUUUAAACUAUAGUCAUCUGAGUCUGAACACCCAUCCAUCAUGGAUUCCAGCCGGAUAAACAUGAAAAGACUGUCAAAGAGCCUCUUCUCAAAUUUUUCGUCUUUCCUGUGGAGGUCUUUAUAUCCAUACCUUGCAACACAACGGAACAUUCGGAAAUUCCUUGGUCCUAUUCGCUUUAUGAGGAAUCUCUCAUCUUCAGGGACUGUAUAGACUGGCAGGUACUUCACGCAGACAAAAACAACCACAGAGUGGAUAGCAGGUAGGUUGGUG